rnacentral:rRNA from 1 species
GAUGAACGCUGGCGGCGUGCCUAAUACAUGCAAGUCGAGCGAACAGACGAGGAGCUUGCUCCUCUGACGUUAGCGGCGGACGGGUGAGUAACACGUGGAUAACCUACCUAUAAGACUGGGAUAACUUCGGGAAACCGGAGCUAAUACCGGAUAAUAUAUUGAACCGCAUGGUUCAAUAGUGAAAGACGGUUUUGCUGUCACUUAUAGAUGGAUCCGCGCCGCAUUAGCUAGUUGGUAAGGUAACGGCUUACCAAGGCAACGAUGCGUAGCCGACCUGAGAGGGGGGUCGGCCACACUGGAACUGAGACACGGUCCAGACUCCUACGGGAGGCAGCAGUAGGGGAUCUUCCGCAAUGGGCGAAAGCCUGACGGAGCAACGCCGCGGGAGUGAUGAAGGUCUUCGGAUCGUAAAACCCUGUUAUUAGGGAAGAAAAAAAGUGUAAGUAACUAUGCACGUCUUGACGGUACCUAAUCAGAAAGCCACGGCUAACUACGUG